CAGUUCCACAUCUAUUGUGACUUAAAAAUACAAUACAAAGCAAUGUGAAAUUUAAAAAAAGUAUUGUGAAUUGAAAACACAUUACGAUCGGUUUGCUAUCAUAUGUCAUAAUGCCAAUCACCAUAUACGAUUGAUGUAUCGAUUCGACCCCUGAUUCAUAGAAAAUUUUUUUGGAUAGCCAUUGCCCUGAGAGACGGAGGUAACAGAUUGCACAAACACAUUGAGUUUAUAGCUAUUACAUGUUCUGCAAUUUUAAAUUGAAUGGGAAUUGAUAAAUAUUUUAAUUACGAAUAAUUCUUUUAAAUAUACCUAUAGAUAGAAAUCGAGGCGAGUUUUCUAACUAAAGCGUUCUUUAUUGUAGAUUAGAAAGCCGAGAAAGACUUGACCUGGUGGACGAUGAAGUUUACCAAAAACGACCGAACAUUGCUGGCUAUGGUAUAACACGAUAUCUGUUUAAGUGUCAGCCGCUUGGUGAUUAUACAUUUAAUCAAACCCCAGACAUUGAGUUACCUGAUGGUUGUAUGAUGAAGUUUUUGGGGCGCUAUUCCAAACGUAUUUAAUAAACGUUGAAGGAAACGUACAAACGGUCGAUAUCGAUAUAUGAACGGAAUUGUACAAGCCUAUAGUGCGCGAGUGGAUAAAUUGGAGGGAUUUAAAAAUCCGCCACAACGUUGUUAUUGUUUUUAUCGGCGACGUUAAUUUGGCUGAGAUUGCAAAGGAUCGCGAUGGUUUUUGGAUGUGCGUGUGAAACAAGAAAAUUAAGAAAAGUAGUACAGAAACGUAGAAAGUUUAAAGUUAUAGUUAUGAUACCUAAGUUUCUGCUUAUAUAACAUGUAAUAAUAUGUAUAUCCUUCGUCAUAAUUGGCGUAGACACCGCUUACGCGAUUAUAGCCGAGUUAACAACAACGUGCCAGUCGUUUCUUCUUUUCACUACGUGGUGCCAAUUGGAUAUUUCAAGCGAAGCCAGGUCCUUCUCCACCUGGUCUUUCCAACGGAUUGGAGGUCUUCCUCUUCCUCUGCUUACCGCGGCGGGUACUGCGUCGAAUAUUUUCAAAGCUGGAGUGUUUUCGUCCAUUCGGACAACAUGACCUAGCCAGCGUAGCCGCUGUCUUUUAAUUCGCUGAACUAUGUCAAUGUCGUCAUAUAUCUCAUACAGCUCAUCGUUCCAUCGAAUGCGAUAUGCCGUGGCCAACGCGCAAAGGACCAUAAAUCUCUCGCAGAACUUUUCUCUCGAAAACUCGCAACGUCGACUCACCGGUUGUUGUCGUCGUCCAAGCCCCUGAACUAUAUAUGUAUGUAUGUAAAUAUUCUUUAAAAAUAACAAGAUCUAUUAAUAACUUUGAAAGUCUAUAUUUACAACCCGUUCUUAUAAAAUUAAUUAUUCCUCAGGCGCUAUAUAUACAUAUAUAGUAAUAGUAAGUUAAUUUUAACAAUUAGCUUAAGUAAAUAUGCUUCUACAGCAUAUUUAGGUAAAGCAAAGUAAUAUAAAAAAUACUGAAUUAUAUUUAAAAGAAUUGAAAUUGGUUAUGUCAGCAAAUGGGUA